rnacentral:rRNA from 1 species
AGGGCAAGUCUGGUGCCAGCAGCCGCGGUAAUUCCAGCUCCAAUAGCGUAUAUUAAAGUUGUUGCAGUUAAAAAGCUCGUAGUUGAAUUUCGGGGUUCUACCGUUGGUCGGGCUAUUGUCUGUACUGGUGUGUAGAAUUUCUACCUUCUGGGGAACUAUCAUGUUAUUAAUUUAGCGUGGUAGGAAACCAGGACCUUUACCUUGAAAAAAUUAGAGUGUUCAAAGCAGGCUUAUGUCUGAAUACAUUAGCAUGGAAUAAUAAAAUAGGACGGUGGUCCUGUUUUGUUGGUUUCUGAAUCACCGUAAUGAUUAAUAGGGAUAGUUGGGGGCAUUAGUAUUCAAUUGUCAGAGGUGAAAUUCUUGGAUUUAUUGAAGACUAACUACUGCGAAAGCAUUUGCCAAGGAUGUUUUCAUUAAUCAAGAACGAAAGUUAGGGGAUCGAAGACGAUCAGAUACCGUCGUAGUCUUAACCAUAAACUAUGCCGACUAGGGAUCGGACGAUGUUAACUUUUCUUGACUCGUUCGGCGCCUUACGGGAA